rnacentral:rRNA from 1 species
UGGGGAAUAUUGCACAAUGGGCGCAAGCCUGAUGCAGCCAUGCCGCGUGUAUGAAGAAGGCCUUCGGGUUGUAAAGUACUUUCAGCGAGGAGGAAGGCGUUGUGGUUAAUAACCGCAACGAUUGACGUUACUCGCAGAAGAAGCACCGGCUAACUCCGUGCCAGCAGCCGCGGUAAUACGGAGGGUGCAAGCGUUAAUCGGAAUUACUGGGCGUAAAGCGCAUGCAGGCGGUCUGUCAAGUCGGAUGUGAAAUCCCCGGGCUCAACCUGGGAACUGCAUCCGAAACUGGCAGGCGAGAGUCUUGUAGAGGGGGGUAGAAUUCCAGGUGUAGCGGUGAAAUGCGUAGAGAUCUGGAGGAAUACCGGUGGCGAAGGCGGCCCCCUGGACAAAGACUGACGCUCAGGUGCGAAAGCGUGGGGAGCAAACA